rnacentral:rRNA from 1 species
UACGGGGGGGGCAAGCGUUGUUCGGAAUUACUGGGCGUAAAGGGCUCGUAGGCGGGUCUUUAAGUCAGGGGUGAAAUCCUGGAGCUCAACUCCAGAACUGCCUUUGAUACUGAAGAUCUUGAGUUCGGGAGAGGUGAGUGGAACUGCGAGUGUAGAGGUGAAAUUCGUAGAUAUUCGCAAGAACACCAGUGGCGAAGGCGGCUCACUGGCCCGGUACUGACGCUGAGGUGCGAAAGCGUGGGGAGCAAACAGG